UUUGGCCUGCUCACUGAUGAUUUUAAAGAGCCGCGGUAAUUUGACCGUGCAAAGGUAGCAUAAUCAUUAGUCUCUUAAUUAGAGGCUGGAAUGAAUGGUUUGACGAGAAAUUAACUGUCUCUUAAUAAGUUUUAAAAUUUAACUUUUGAGUUAAAAGGCUUAAAUUUUUUCUUUAGGACGAGCAGACCCUAUAGAGCUUGACAUUUUAAUUUUAUAUUUUUUUAAGAUAGUCUUUUUAUAUUAAAUGAUAAUGUUUUGUUGGGGUGAUAUGAAGAAUAAAGAAACUCUUUAUUAUAAAAUCCUUAAUUUAUGUUUAUUUUGAU
rnacentral:rRNA from 1 species